GUCGCGUUGGAGGGGCAGCCAAAAAGUGUCGGAGGCUGCUGGGGGCUGCAGAGGACACCGAGUGCCUCCCCGAGGAACUGUCGCUCCCUGGUGUCACCAGCGCCGCUCCCUGGGGGUCUGUGUCAACCCGGGUUUCACCCAGUGUCACCCACUGCCGCCUCCUGAGGGGCUUUCGCUCCAGGGGUCGCCUUAGGGGCUGUGUCAUCCCUGCUGUCACCGCUGCCACCCUCCGAGUGGGUUUUGUCAUCCCUGCUGUCACGCAGUGCCACCUCCACACCUCAGUGCUGCGUUCAAUCCGAGUGAAUGUCACAGAAUCUUGGAGUAACGGAGUUACUGCAGGGAUAACAGGAGACACGUGGACGUGGGAAUGAAGAGACUCUUGGACCCCUUUGUCCUUCCCAUUGCUCCUCCUGUUGCUCCUUCCUUCCUAAUUCCUUUCCUCGUUUCUUUGGUCCCUUCUUUGUUCCUUUCCAAUUUCUUUACUAUUCUUUGCUUGCUCCUUGCCCGACCCUUUCUCUGUCCUUUUUCCCAUCCCUUUCUCAUUUCCUUUCCUACCCCAUGUCCAUUCCUUCCUUGUUCCUUGUGUACUUCUUUACUAUUCCUUGCUUCUUCCUUUCCCAUUCAUUUUUUUUCUUUUUUUCUCCCCCACACUUCACCCCUCUUUUCCAUUUUUUUGCACUUCCCUUACCCAUCUCUUUGCCUUCUUUUGCCCCUGGCAGUGUCCCUGGGCUCCAACCUGAAGGAGCACGUUGUCAUUGACGCACUGUGGUCAUCCUGAACUGGUGCUUCAAGCAGAGACUGCUCAACAUGAGGAGGAUCUGCAUGUUCAUGCUGGACAAGGCUGGACUUCAUGAUUGACAUGCAGGACUUCUGCUCCCAGAGCAUCCACAUCCAGAGAUGGAUCACAGAAACCAGCUUUUGGCACAGGAAAAUGCAAAAGGGGGGAGUUAGAAGGGCUCUCCUAAAAGACUGACAGAUGCUGCUUUUCUCUGCCACCUUCUGUAAAAUGUGUGGAAGUUCACCUUGCAGAUCAUCUCCAGAUCCAUCAUCAUCAAGCUGCGGCAGGAGAAGCUUGCCCUGACCAACACCAGGCUACUGCUUUGUCUGCAGGAACUGGGAGCAGAAGUAUGCAGCCCUCUGCAACCUCUGUGGCAGCAUUUCCAGGCCUUAAUGUUCUGCCAGCUACAGCUCAUUGGUAAGCAGUGAGCUGCCAGUGAUCCAUCUGACAUGAUCAAGCCCAGUGUGAUGUCAACUCUACUUCAAUGAUCGCCAAAAACGAGGGAACAAGGUGCAAAGGAUGGAUGAGAAACACACAGUGAGAAUUAAAAGCUCAGAGUUAAGUUAGAGGAACAAUAGUAGGGUUUUGGAGAAGUUAAAGGAACAUAGAUUGAGACCAACAGUUGCAGAGCUGCUGGAGAAGCUCGGCUGCCUUCUUUCACCCAUGCAGACCUGCUGGAGGGCAGACUGACUCAGUGAAGAUGAUUCUAGAUGGGCACUGAGUGAUCCUUCAUUCAUUCUCUACACUUCUGUCUCCCUUUUUUCCAAACCAUCUGUUAGGAAAAGUUCUGCUGAGAAUUAACUUUUAUGCAUGUAGAGAAAGGAAUACAAAAAAAAAUAAUCUCAAGGAAUCCAUACCUAGUGACGCACAGAGAAGCGUGGAAGAUUCAAAGUCUUGGCCUGAGAAAAUUAUUUGGUCAGCAAUAUAAAAAAUGGAGAGAGCAGACAGUCAAGACCAGAAAUGUAGAUUUGCCAGUAAUCAAGCCAGAUGCUUAAGAUUUUGAUGGUAUAUUUGUGGUGACAGGGGAGAGUGUGUUAAGUGGUGCACGUUAGAUAAGCCAGGCAUCACUUGGAAACCUGUGUGCCUGGAGCACUUAGUGUCAUGCCCAGGGUGCUGCCAGGGUAGAGGUCCUGUCCACAGGAAGAAAUGAGCAAGACAUAUGGAAGGACGGGGAGCCACAUUUUAACCUUGAGUUGAUGGCUAGAUAGGAAGGAUCUUGGAGCACUAACUUGGUCUAGGGAGAGAAACCAGAAGUGUAACUGGAUGUGAGUUCUCCUCUUUUGCUGUUGUCUUGUCUGCCCACCUCAGCUUGGGCAGAGCCAUGGAAGCCCUCAGUCUUGUUUUCCCAAGGGAUUUUGUUCGAUGCUGGAACUAUGAAAGUAGGUUUAUGCUCCCACCCCAGUGAGCUGUGUAACUUCCCAGUUCUGAGGCACGCGGAUGGGAGAGGGCAGGCCACUGCCUCUGCCCCUUUCUGUCUCUGCUUAAUGGCAGCAUUUCUUCUUCCUGUCAAGACCCUGCUCAAGAAGUUGUCUCGCUCCAAUUUAUAGGAGGGAGAGGAGGUUCUUUUAUUGUCUAUCUACUCGGUGUGAGAUUAAGAAACAACAGUUCAAAUGUUGGUCCGACCAGUUUAUUACAAAUCUUAAUUAGGGAAAUGGGGAAGGGAAGGAGGGUGAUAGAAAAGAUAGGAAAGAAGAAAAAAAGAAGCAAGGAGUCUUUAUAGGAAGCAAGAGGGAGAGAAUCACCACCAUGGAUCCAGCGUGGUUCGUAGUUCAGUCAUUGAUCUUCAGUAGGGUGGGUGGUCAGGCAGAGUUGUUCUGUUGACAACAAUGACGACAACGACCGUGGCAAUGAUGGCCCCUUUUAAAUGGUUUCAAAGCGGCCGAGUCAGCUGUCUUUGGAGUGACAGCUCAAAUCCACAGUGGUUGAGUCAGCUCUCCUUGGAGUGGCAGCUUCUGGCUCUGGGAUCUCAGCAGAAACUCCUUUGUUCUUCCAGGCCUUGCCAGCAGAUAAGAGGGAGCAGGGAUGCCCAUCUGCAUCCUGUUUUUCACGGGACACAAUGGUAUCAUUCCCCAGUUUUCCCACACCUAGCUGGAGCUGUUUAGUCACAGGCCAGAUCUUCCGCCAGUGAACACUCAUGAGCAGUCUCUUCCAGAGGCAAGCAGCUCUGGAGGAAGGGGCUUGCAAAUGUUCCCAAAGUGAUAUCCAUUGUCACACGGUUAGCACCCAUCACUUGCCUCCUCAACAAAUCGAUCAGAGUUUUAUCACACAAAAUACCUCAGGAAGCAAGCUUUGAGCCAAAAAAAACCAAAACAAAACAAAGAAGGAUUCUCGCAGAAGUACAUUGUAGUUGUAAGGAAUUACAGAUUUUAUUUUAAACAGUCAGUCUUGGGGUGUGGAGCCUUGAAAGACAUGUCUCAGAUAUUAGUGUUGCAGAAACACAGGCCGUAUCCUUGCCUCCAGCCAUGACACUUGGGAAACCCUCACUGGAAGCCAGUCGGAGCUGACUUACAUGCGCUUGCUAAUUCAGUGGGAAAAAUGGUUUUAUGUUUGAAGUGGGUUUCAGUUAUUUCUCAGGCUUUUGCUUUGAUGCUCAUCUGAUGCUUUCAAAAGUUAAUUUGGUUAUUUAUUAACGAGGCUGUCUUACUGCAAGCAAAGACCUCAUGGAGCUCAAUAUGUAUCUUGUUCCACAAAUUUUUAUUAGAAAAAAUGAAUACUACAACUUUGCAAGGAUUUUAGCAGUAUGUAAAUCUUCCAUGAUAAACUAGCUUUAGCUACAGAAAUUACAGGGACCAAAGCUUAUAUCUGCUGGUUCAUUUAUAAUUUACACCAAUGUCAUAUGUUGCCCAUGGUAAUAAAUUCCAUUCAUGAUGCAGUUCUAGUUUCAGUUUUGAUGAUAAAACAGAAGUGUCUGCAGUGGUCUGUUGCAGUGGAGUGUUCUCAAGGCUGGGAUUGCUGUUCUCUGUACACUGCCUUCCUUCUCUAUGUGCUCACUAGUGAGUUUCUAACCUUAAAUAUAUUACUAAAAAUGUUGAAAGCAUUCUUGCCCUUAAAGUGAGCAAGGUAGCAAGCUGAGGAGCAGACUUGGGAUCGCAUUUUCAUUGCAGUAAUGGUUUCAAGGCUCUUGCUUGCUUCUAUCAAUACUGUAAAAUAAAAAUCUUUUGCAAGAGAAAAA